rnacentral:rRNA from 1 species
AGAGGUGGGGAUGACGUCAAAUCAUCAUGCCCCUUAUGACCUGGGCUACAAACGUGAUACAAUGGCUGGAACAAAGGGAUGCGAAGCAGUGAUGUGGAGCGAAACCCAUAAAAACAGUCUCAGUUCGGAUUGAAGUCUGCAACUCGACUUCAUGAAGUCGGAAUCGCUAGUAAUCGCGGAUCAGAACGCCGCGGUGAAUACGUUCUCGGGGUUU